rnacentral:lncRNA from 1 species
CUUGCAAGCUGUAUCACAUGCUGGUUUGUUGCAUCCCCCGCCAAUAAUGAUAGGAAAUGAACAUGUUCCCGUUCGUUUUUCAUGAAUUAAUGUGGAUUCAUCUGUAAGCAUAGAAAUUUAAAUAUAAAAAACAUAAGAUAAUUAACUGAGACAAAAAAAAGAAGAAGAUGAAGGGAACAAAAUUAUUGAAAUGCAAUGUCAUUAGAUUUUUUUUUAUAAACAAUAAGAACAUAUCUAACCAAAAAACUUACAUUUUUUUGUGUGAUCGGCAUUUGAAAUAAUAACAUUCAUUAUCAUCAUGAGGACUAUCAUAUAAAUAAAAUGUUUGAAACUCAUUUUUUUCAGUAUAAGAAUUCUAAUAUCUCAUAGACUUGUAAUGUUAGUAAUGUUGUA